GUCCGGAAUAAGGCUUUAAAUGAGUGCUAAGAGAAUGGUUUAACAAUUAUAAGCUUUCUUUAAUUAAAAAAUUAAAUUUAAUUUUUUUUGUGAAGAAGCAAAAAUUUAAAUUAGGGACAAGAAGACCCUAUGAAUUUUAUAUUAAAUAAUAUAAUUUAAUCAAAUUAUAUUAUUUGAAUUAAUUGGGGUGAUUUAAAAAGAAUAUAUAUCUUUUUAAAAAGAUAAUUUGUUCCGUUUUUAACGAUUUUAUGAAAAAAAUACUCUAGGGAUAACAGCGUAAUAAUUUUGGAUAGUUCAUAUAGAUAAAAUAGUUUGCGACCUCGAUGUUGGAUUAGGAUUCUUUUUUAAUGAAGAAAUUAAAAAGAAGAAGUUUGUUCAACUUUUAAAUUCCUACUUGAUCUGAGUUCAGACCGGA
rnacentral:rRNA from 1 species